GAUCAGAUGCAGUGCUAUAGACAUCAAUGCAUGGCGUCUGCUACGGGUGCUGGCGUGUUAUUGUAAUAUGCCUUAAUUGCUGACGUUUUUCUUCUGAACUAUGACGAAUGCGUACACAUUUGAUGGCCUUAUUGUGUUCUCUUUGCUGGUGAUCUGCACUUGCGCCUAUAUGCGCAAGAUCCCUCGCUUAAAACAGUGGUUCCUGUCGGAAAAGAAAGGUUUCUUUGGUGUAUUCUAUAAAGCUUCCGUCAUCGGUACGAGACUCCACCUGUUUGUUUCGCUCACUUGCGUCGCUACCGGCUUCUACAUCCUCUUCCUGAAGUGAAGACCGUCUGCAAACCGGACAACC